AGGAUAAUAGUUAAAAUUAACAUUUAAUUUGCACUUAAAAAAUAUUGAAUAAAUCAAUUUAUCUU
rnacentral:tRNA from 2 species